rnacentral:rRNA from 2 species
UCUCCUGGAAACGGGUGGUAAUGCCGGAUGCUCCGACUCCUCGCAUGGGGUGUCGGGAAAGAUUUCAUCGGUAUGGGAUGGGGUCGCGUCCUAUCAGGUAGUCGGCGGGGUAACGGCCCACCGAGCCUACGACGGGUAGCCGGCCUGAGAGGGCGACCGGCCACAUUGGGACUGAGAUACGGCCCAGACUCCUACGGGAGGCAGCAGUGGGGAAUAUUGCACAAUGGGCGCAAGCCUGAUGCAGCGACGCCGCGUGCGGGAUGACGGCCUUCGGGUUGUAAACCGCUUUUGAUCGGGAGCAAGCCUUCGGGUGAGUGUACCUUUCGAAUAAGCACCGGCUAACUACGUGCCAGCAGCCGCGGUAAUACGUAGGGUGCAAGCGUUAUCCGGAAUUAUUGGGCGUAAAGGGCUCGUAGGCGGUUCGUCGCGUCCGGUGUGAAAGUCCAUCGCUUAACGGUGGAUCUGCGCCGGGUACGGGCGGGCUGGAGUGCGGUAGGGGAGACUGGAAUUCCCGGUGUAACGGUGGAAUGUGUAGAUA